rnacentral:rRNA from 1 species
CUCAAGGAAUUGACGGAGGGGCGCACAAGCGGUGGAGCAUGUGGUUUAAUUCGACGCAACGCGAAGAACCUUACCUGGCCUUGACAUCCAGAGAACUUUCCAGAGAUGGAUUGGUGCCUUCGGGAACUCUGAGACAGGUGCUGCAUGGCCGUCGUCAGCUCGUGUCGUGAGAUGUUGGGUUAAGUCCCGUAACGAGCGCAACCCCUAUCCCUGGUUGCUAGCAGGUAAUGCUGAGAACUCCAGGGAGACUGCCGGUGACAAACCGGAGGAAGGUGGGGAUGACGUCAGGUCAUCAUGGCCCUUACGGCCAGGGCUACACACGUGCUACAAUGGCGCGUACAGAGGGCUGCGAAGCCGCGAGGUGGAGCUAAUCUCAUAAAGCCGGUCGUAGUCCGGAUUGGAGUCUGCAACUCGACUCCAUGAAGUCGGAAUCGCUAGUAAUCGUGGAUCAGAAUGCCACGGUGAAUACGUUCCCGGGCCUUGCACACACCGCCCG